UGGUCAGUAGGUUGGUCGUGCCACCGGUACGUACUGGUCUCACUGAUUCCUCCUUCCUGAAGAACCGUAAUGCCAUUAAUUUGGUGUUGCGGGGAAACAGGACAGUUACUUUGAAAAAAUUAGAGUGUUUAAAGCAAGCUAACGCUUGAAUACAUUAGCAUGGAAUAAUGAAAUAGGACGAUCGAUCCUAUUUUGUUGGUUUCUAGGAUUGACGUA
rnacentral:rRNA from 1 species